rnacentral:lncRNA from 1 species
GAAGGACGGGGAACAGACGGAAAACCAAUUUAAAAAACAGGUAUCUUCAUUUCAACAAGUUACGGAAAUUGACCUUUAUUUAUUGUACUAAAGUCUGUGUAACUUUUGAUACAAAGUAAGGUUUUAGUACAGAAAAUCCCAGUCUGUCAGAACAGUACCUGUGCACACUACCAUCACAGUCCCACUCGGGCCACAACCCAGAGAGACAGCCAGAGGGCACCAGGUGGGACCGCAGACAGCCCACCGUCUGUCUUGGUUGUCUGAGCUAGAAGACGAUGCGUACCUGUGAAACAAAGGGCAGCACUGAGGACUGACACAUGUCUCUUUUUGAACAACUGUGCAAGAAAAUAUAUCCCUUUUUUUAAAAAAAUGUCAGUUUGGCUAAUCUACAAUCUAGUGUCUAGAAUUACAAAGAAUAAAAUGAAAUCAAAGAUUUCUUGCUAGUAAAAUGAAAUGUUAGGAAUAGUAUUAAAAUAUAGGUCCUACCCCAGUGACACUUCCACGGAGCCCAGUACAGUACCUAUUAUUAACAGGACGCACAGUUUAAGGAGGAACCACAUCAAAUCUUCAGCCGGAGAUAUCCAGCAUCAGAAGUGCAAAAAAAAAAAAAAAGAAGAAGAAGAAAACCCAACCAAAACAAAACCCCCAACAAAGACGUUCUUGUGGGGUCGUGUUUAUGCUGGGAGCACGGUCACCGGGACUAAGAAGGUCCUCAGCCGCUCUCUAGAUGUCUGACAGUGAGGACACUCGGCAUUAAGCUUCCCCUAAGCGCUCUGGGUUCAAAGUCUGAAACACGAGUGUCUUCACAUCAGAGACAGCUGAUGUACCUGCCCCAGCCCCCAGCGUUUAAGAGUUACCCUGCAAAAAUUGCACUGAUAAAGCGGUCAUUAUUUACAGAAGCUGAAGAGGUCCCAGUAGCACGCGCCAGCCC